GCGGUAAUACGUAGGGUGCGAGCGUAAUCGGAAUUACUGGGCGUAAAGCGUGCGCAGGCGGUUUCGUAAGCUGUAGGUGAAAUCCCCGGGCUUAACCUGGGAAUGGCCUUAGGACUGCGAGGCUAGAGUGCGGCAGAGGGAGGUGGAAUUCCACGUGUAGCAGUGAAAUGCGUAGAGAUGUGGAGGAACACCGAUGGCGAAGGCAGCCUCCUGGGCCAGCACUGACGCUCAUGCACGAAAGCGUGGGGAGCAAACAGGAUUAGAUACCCUGGUAGUCCACGCCCUAAAUGUCAGGUGUUGGGGAGGGUGACUUCCUUAGUACCGCAGCUAACGCGUGAAGUUGACUGUCUGGGGAGUACGGCCGCAAGGUUAAAACUCAAAGGAAUUGACGGGGACCCGCACAAGCGGUGGAUGAUGUGGAUUAAUUCGAUGCAACGCGAAAAACCUUACCUACUGACAUGCUUGGAACCCUGCUGAGAGGGGGUGCCCGAAAGGGAGCCGGGACACAGGUGCUGCA
rnacentral:rRNA from 1 species